rnacentral:rRNA from 1 species
AUUGAACGCUGGCGGCAUGCCUUACACAUGCAAGUCGAACGGUAACAGGUCUUCGGAUGCUGACGAGUGGCGAACGGGUGAGUAAUACAUCGGCACGUGCCCGAUCGUGGGGGAUAACGAAGCGAAAGCUUUGCUAAUACCGCAUAAGAUCUACGGAUGAAAGCAGGGGACCGCAAGGCCUUGCGCGAACGGAGCGGCCGAUGGCAGAUUAGGUAGUUGGUGGGAUAAAAGCUUACCAAGCCGACGAUCUGUAGCUGGUCUGAGAGGACGACCAGCCACACUGGGACUGAGACGCGGCCCAGACUCCUACGGGAGGCAGCAGUGGGGAAUUUUGGACAAUGGGCGAAAGCCUGAUCCAGCCAUGCCGCGUGCAGGAUGAAGGCCUUCGGGUUGUAAACUGCUUUUGUACGGAACGAAAAGACUCUUUCUAAUAAAGAGGGUCCAUGACGGUACCGUAAGAAUAAGCACCGGCUAACUACGUGCCAGCAGCCGCGGUAAGAC